rnacentral:rRNA from 1 species
CCUUCGGGCGCCGACGAGUGGCGGACGGGUGAGUAACGCGUAGGAAUCUGCCUCAUAGUGGGGGACAACGUGGGGAAACUCACGCUAAUACCGCAUACGCCCUACGGGGGAAAGCGGGGGAUCUUCGGACCUCGCGCUAUGAGAUGAGCCUGCGUUAGAUUAGCUAGUUGGUAGGGUAAAGGCCUGCCAAGGCGACGAUCUAUAGCUGGUCUGAGAGGACGAUCAGCCACACUGGGACUGAGGCACGGCCCAGACUCCUACGGGAGGCAGCAGUGGGGAAUAUUGGACAAUGGGCGCAAGCCUGAUCCAGCAAUACCGCGUGUGUGAAGAAGGCCCUAGGGUUGUAAAGCACUUUCAAUUGGGAGGAAAACCUGCCGGUCAAUACCCGGUAGCUUGACAUUACCUUUAGAAGAAGCACCGGCUAACUCCGUGCCAGCAGCCGCGGUAAUACGGAGGGUGCAAGCGUUAAUCGGAAUUACUGGGCGUAAAGCGUGCGUAGGCGGUUCGUUAAGUCAGAUGUGAAAGCCCCGGGCUUAACCUGGGAACUGCAUUUGAAACUGGCGGACUAGAGUUGAGUAGAGGGGAGUGGAAUUUCAGGUGUAGCGGUGAAAUGCGUAGAUAUCUGAAGGAACACCAGUGGCGAAGGCGACUCCCUGGACUCAAACUGACGCUGAGGUACGAAAGCGUGGGUAGCAAACAGGGUUAGAUACCCUGGUAGUCCACGCUGUAAACGAUGUCAACUAGCCGUUGGUCCUAUUUACAGGAUUAGUGGCGCAGCUAACGCAUUAAGUUGACCGCCUGGGGAGUACGGCCGCAAGGUUAAAACUCAAAUGAAUUGACGGGGGCCCGCACAAGCGGUGAGCAUGUGGUUUAAUUCGAUGCAACGCGAGACUUACCUACCUUGACAUCAGAGAUCAAUC